rnacentral:rRNA from 1 species
GACGAACGCUGGCGGCGUGCUUAAUACAUGCAAGUCGAACGGAGUGGCGAACGGGUGAGUAACACGUGGGUUAUCUGCCUUUCACUUCGGGCUAAGCUUGGGAAACUGGGUCUACUACCGGAUAGUGCAAGAUGAGCUCGCUGCCUAUCAGCUUGUUGGUGGGGUAAUGGCCUACCAAGGCGUCGAAGGGUAGCCGGCCUGAGAGGGUGUACGGCCACAUUGGGACUGAGAUACGGCCCAGACGCCUACGGGAGGCAGCAGUGGGGAAUAUUGCACAAGCGGCGGAAGCCUGAUGCAGCGACGCCGGGUGGGGGAUGAAGGCUUUCGAGUUGUAAACUCCUGUCGACAGAGACGCGGUACCUAUAUAGGAAGCACCGGCUAACUACGUGCCAGCAGCCGCGGUAAGUC